rnacentral:rRNA from 1 species
UAGUCCACACCGUAAACGAUGAAUGCCAGUCGUCGGGUAGUAUACUAUUCGGUGACACACCUAACGGAUUAAGCAUUCCGCCUGGGGAGUACGGUCGCAAGAUUAAAACUCAAAGGAAUUGACAGGGCCCGCACAAGCGGUGGAGCAUGUGGUUUAAUUCGACGCAACGCGCAGAACCUUACCAACCCUUGACAUCCUGUGCUAACCCGAGAGAUCGGGCGUUCCCUUCGGGGACGCAGUGACAGGUGCUGCAUGGCUGUCGUCAGCUCGUGUCGUGAGAUGUUCGGUUAAGUCCGGCAACGAGCGCAACCCACGUCCUUAGUUGCCAUCCGUCUGGUGGGCACUCUAAGGAAACUGCCCGUGAUAAGCGGGAGGAAGGUGUGGGAUGACGUCAAGUCCUCAUGGGCCCUUACGGGGUUGGGGCUACACACGUGCUACAAUGGGCAGUGACAAUGGGUUAAUCCCAAAAGCUAGUCUCAGUUCGGGAUUGGGGGUCUGGCAACUCGACUCCAUG